AUGGACAAAGACUGAUACGCGGUGUAAAAUUGGUUCGACUAUUUGUGAACUAAAUAAAUGGUUGAGUCAGUUUUGCACCGUAUAUCAGUUAAUGACA